AGUAUGAAAGGCAAUCAUAAUCUUACUAUCGAGAAAAUAAAAAAAAACACAUAUUAGUUGCAGUAAAAUAAAAAAAAAAUGUUUAUAUACAUAUAUAACAAAAUAGAUAAAUGAUCAAAUAAAUAUAUUAGCCGCUCCCCGCCUGCCGCUGUGUGGAGUCUGGUGACCAUAACAACGGGACGCCGCGAUGGCCCUAUCCGCUCCUUAUGAAUAUUCCGUCCUGCAUCACAACCCAACAUGUCCUGACUCUCAGGCAUAGCCUCAGCGUGCGGAAGGAAUGACAUUGUGACAUCGCAAAAUGUCACCCCUUACAGAUGUCACCAACCCUCCUGGGCAUGAGCCUCUGCUUUAUACUCAACACACGAUCUUCCAGAAGAGAGAAAGAAUGAGACUAUCCAGAUCUUGUCCAAGAAUCCCAUGUCAUCAGAGUCGAGAUGAAAUAAACAAGGCACAAUCUCACAAAAGCUUCAAAGAAAAAAUUGAAUCAGUGGCAAUAAAAAUGUGCAAUAUUCAGGUUUCAGAUCAGAAACAUACCAGUACUUACAGCCAGGGAUUUACUGCAAACUGUAUGUGUUCAAAUUCAAGGAACCAAAGUGAUGUACUGUUGGCUUCACAGACAACAGAUAUAUUAUUGUCACAAGCAGUAGAGACCCUUAGCCUUAGUCAAAACAGUGUUCAAUCACGUUUGCAGACAUCCAGUCAAACAGGCCAACACAGAAAAAAGUUGGGGAAAAUCCCAGAAAAAAAACAUAAAGUAAAAAGUAAAGUGGUAGCAAGUUGCAGUGGUCUUCCAGAAACACCAGGCACUUGUGAGAGUGGCAUCUCCUCACAGCAGUGUGGUGCAUGUGGCCAGGAGUUCACUUCCUUGCCUUUGCUCACUCUGCACUUAGCACGGCAUGUGUAUGAUGGCCUAUAUGCUGCUCAGUGGUUGAAUCAGGCAAUGUCUUUAGUUGCAUCAAGGCAACCCUCACAUGAUGAUAAGAACAGUAUUAAUGGUGUACAAAAUUCUUCAGUGGACUGAUCCAUAGCAGCUUUGUCAAUGCAAUUUAGAUUGUUGGAAUCACUUCCUUAUUUGUGCUAUAAAUGUUUAUGAUAAGAUGUGAAUGUAAUUGCACGUUUUCCAGUGUUAUCAUCUUUCAUUACAUAAAAUGCACAGAAAACUGUAUUUUGCUUUUGGACCAGGAUCUACUCAGGUGAAAAUGAAGUAAAAGCACUUAAUUUUUUGGAAAAUUGAAAUUCAUAACUUUCACUCAUUGGCACCACUGCCAUCUCAUCUAUCUCUAAAGCUGAAUUCUUCACUCAGGUCUUUGCUAAAAGUUCUACUGUGGAUGAUUCAGGGUUUGUUCCUCCCUCUUUUCCAUCCUCAGACUACUUCAUGUUACCUAUUAAAAUUCUUUGCAGUGAUGUUUUCCAUGCUCUUGCUGGCUUAAACCUUUGUACCCUCAGAAGGCUUACAGACCUGAUGGGGUCCAUCCUAUUGUUCUCUGAAACUGUGCCUCUGUGCUUCCACCUUGCCUAGUCAAACUCUUUCAACCCUGUCUGUCAAAUUUUACCUUUCCUUCUUGCUGGAAGUUUGCCUACAUUCAGCCUGUACCCUCAAACUAUCAUCCUAUUGCUUUAAUUUCCUGCCUAUCUAAAGUUUUGAAUCUCUUCUCAACAGGAAGAUUAUUAAACAUCUUUCACUUCACAAUCUUCUAUCUGAUCACCACCAUGGGUUCCGUCAAGGACACUCUACUGCUGAUCUUUUGGCUUUCCUUACUGAGUCUUAGUCAUCCUCUUUUAGAGAUUUCGGUGAAACUUUUGCUGUUACCUUAGACGUAUCAAAAGCUUUGAUAGAGUCUGGCACAAAGCUUUGAUUUCCAAAGUACCCUCCUAUGGUUUCUAUCCUUCUCUCUGUAACUUCAUCUCAAGUUUCCUUUUUGACUGUUCUUUUGCUGCUGUGGUAGAUGGUCACUGUUCUUCUAAAUCUUAUAUUAACAGUGGUGUUCCACAGGGUUCUGUCCUGUCAUCCUUUUUCUUCCUAUUAUUCAUCAAUGAUCUUCUAAACCAAACUUCUUGUCCUAUCCACUCUUAUGCUGAUGAUACCACCCUGGACUUUUCCACCUCUUUUUAUAGAUGUCCAACCCUUCAGGAAGUAAACAGUUCGUGUAGGGAAGCCACACAAUACCUGACUUCUGAUCUCUCUAGAAUUCUAGAAUUUCUGAUUGGGGCAGAGCAAACUUAGUAUUGUUCAAUGCCUCAAGAACUAAAUUCCUCCAUCUAUCAACUUGACACAACUUUCCAGGCAACUAUGCCCUCUUCUUCAAUAACAUUCAACCUGUCUCCCUCUACAGUGAACAUCCUUGGUCUGAGUUUUACUUAUAAUCUAAACUGGAAACUUUACGUCUCAUCUCUAGCUAAAACAGCUUCUAUGAAGUUAGGCAUUCUAAGAUGUCUCUGCCAGUUUUACUCACCUUUCCAGCUGCUAACUUUGUACAAGGGUCUUAUCUGUCCAGGUAUGGAGUAUGCUUCAUAUGUCUGGGAGGGGGGUGGGGGUCCACUCAUAGCACUUUUCUAGACAGGGUGGAAUCAAAAGCAUUUCAUCUCAUCAACUCCUCUUCUCUUACUGACUGUCUUCAACCUCUUUCUCAUCACCGCAAUGUUGUUCUCUUCUAUCGUUAUUUUCAUGCUAACUGCUCUUCUGAUCUCACUAACUGCAUGCCUCCCCUCCUUCCACAGCCUUGCUGCACAAGACUCUUCUUUCUCUCACCCCUAUUCUGUCCACCUCUCUAAUGCAAAAGUUAAUCAGUAUUCUCAAUCAUUCAUCCCCUUCUCAUGUAAACUCUGGAACUCCCUUCCUGCUUCUGCAUUUCCACGUUCCUAUGACUUGAACUCCUUCAAGAGUGAGGUUUCAAGAUGCUUAUCCUUCAGUUUUUGACUACAGCUUUGAACCCUAUUUUGGGACCAGCAUAUCGGUGGUCUUUUUUUUUUUUUUUUUUCCCUUCCCCUUGGCCAGUGUCCCUCCUACAUAAAAAAAAAUUGUAUCUGAGAACAUCUGAAAAUCCUGUUUUUGUUUGCAUUUGUUAUUUUCAAUUAUUUAUUUAUUUAUUUAUUUAUUUAUAUGAAUUUCUUUAUUAUAUUUCUAGUAUUAGUGCAAUAUCUCUUCAAUGGAGAGAAAUUAUUGAGGCAUUGAUAGAUAUUUUUUUUCUAUUUGUUGAUGAACUCUUUAUCCCUCUUGCAUUUUGUUUGUUGAUAUUUUAAGGCAUGCAUUGUGUGAUUAGUAGAAUCUUUACUAAUGCCUACUGUGGUUAUUUGCUGGUUGGCAUAAUUCAGUCAUUUCUGUAAAAAUCACUUUGAAUUUUUGGUUUUAAGUACUUGUAUACAAUUUGCACAUUUUGCAGAUUAACUUAUUUAAGCUAAGUGUAACCAUCUUGAAAGUCAAAGGUGUGUCAAAAGAAGCAUAGGGAUAUUCUUAUUCCAUGUUAUUUUAUGGGUAUUUGGAUCUCAAGUUUGUACUUUAUUUCUCAUGUAAAGUUUUGCUUUGUAAAUACAUUUUUAAUGGUGAUUCCAUCACCCACUUCUAAUGUAAAAGCUCACGAGUACCAUUCUUCCCCAAACUUUGUGUGAGUGCACUUAUGUUUUGUGUCCAGUUCAUAUUCAGGAAACAAAUUACUGGAUAGCUCAGGAAGUCUUGAAUGAUAUUUAGUAUUUAACUUUUAUGUCUACUUGAGAAAGGAACAUGAAAUCCAUGUAUUUUUUUGUUAUAUGCUUUGUCCCUUCUUUUGAAGAAAGCCAAUUGUAUGAUUAUAUAUAUAUAUAUAUAUAUAUAUAUAUAUAUAUAUAUAUAUAUAUAUAUAUAUUGCAUUCCCUGUGGAAGUGAGGUAAGCAACAUGCACAAGAAAACUAGAGAACAGAUCCAGUAUUAACUUGAGCAAUCAUUGUUUCAUAGGUACAUUUGUCUUUAAUCAACCCCAGAGCUGAAGUUCAGCUUUGAUGCUGCUUUUUUUUUCUUACCCACCCCAGCUCAUAACCAGUGUUAACUGAAAUAAUAAAAAAUUAAAUUCUUUCUAGUUCAGCUAUACUUUUAAGAUUUAAGAAUACUAAUGUUACUUUCUGCUAUUCACUUAGUUCUUGGUAUCAAAAUAAGAGAAGAAUGAAUACCAGAGGAUGAGGCUGAGGCCUUCAUCAUCUCUCAAAAGACUCCACAAUGGAAACAAAAUAAAAAAAAAAUAGAGAAAAAAAAUGGAAGUAUAAGACUUGGCAUAGAGAGAAUAUUAGAGGAGAAGAAUCUUGCCUUGUACAUGUGGGGAGGGAGAGUUUUAAGGCCUGGUGUGCCUUAGAAAGCCUGAAUAGUUGGUCAGUGUGAGGCAUGUGAUACCUAUAGAUAACCCUUGUGUCACUUGUCUCACUUCAACAAGGAGUGCCACAUAUGCUGUUGCAUUUGCUGUAUACUUUAUGCUUUUGCAUUUAAAUUAAUAGAAAAUUGAGCAACAUUUGUGUGAGGGCAUGUGAAAUCUUUCUGGCAUAAAUUGUGUAGAACAAGUUUUUAGUCAUAUGACAUACAAAGGCUCAUUCUCUGCUCAAGUUUGUGAGUGUAUUGUCAUUUCAAGAUAGAGGAUAUUAGUAGAAAGUGAGAAACAUUCAUGGAAGUUGUUUAUGAUCAGAAAUUAUGAAGGAACUGGAAAGGUAUAUUAUUUAGUUAAAAGAGAAUAUCUGUUAUAUAAUAAAGCUGAAAUUCCAUCUGUGUUAUAUAAUGAUAAAGCUGAAAUUCCAGUCAGAUCAUGUCACGUCAUUUUGGGCAAGUGUUUAGGCAUAAGGCAGGGUAUGCAACUUUUGUGAUUACUGACAUAUAUGCAGAAGGAACACUGAAGUAACAUAACAACUGAUGUGCUUCAGUGCUAAGAAUUUGACACUGACUUCUUUCAUAUCAGUGAAAUACUUAAUCAUCAGUCUGGAAGCCUCUAUCAUCAUAAUCAUUCUGGAAAGUUUGUCAAACUUAGACCAGAACUAAGGAGCUGCUCACCAUAUUUUUUGACCAAGAUGAUGUUCACCAUAGGUAUGCUCUAAAGCAGUGGUUCUCAACCUUUUGUAAGCUAGUUCAAUGCAGUUGGGAUCCCUUCUGCCCUGUGCCAUCCACUCAACCCACUCCCCAAUUAUGCACCAUAGAUAGAUAGAUGCUGCAUCUCCUUUGGAGUCCAUGAUUUUCCAUGAUUUUUUUCCACUCCCAUCCUGUGCUCCUGCCCCCCUGGGAGAGUGUCUGUGCCCCCCUAGUUGAGAACCACUGCUCUAGAGGGUCAAAAUGUGAACAGUGAUGUUGCAAUGUAUGAUCUAUGACAGCUUUGUCAUUAUAGCACAAGUGCGGUAAUCUCUGUAUUCACCAAACCAUGAUUUCUCUCUAGAACCUCCAUUCAGUAAACAAGUAAGGGAAAAAAAGUGGGAAAACCUGCCGAGAUAAUGUACUGACAUCACUCUCACACACACACACACACACACACACACACACUGUAGAAGAGACAUCAAAAAGUAUAGUUUUCCUCACAGAAGUGUCAACAACUGGAAUGAACUCAGUGAAGACACUGUCAAUGCUGUAACUGGCCAUGCUUUUAAGACCAAACUGGAUAGAUAUAGAGAUGGGAUACUAAGGGAUUACUCCCCUCCCAUAAACCACAACUAGGUAAAUACAACUAAGUAAAUAUGCACACACACACACACACACACACACACACACACACACACACAGUUUAAUCAUGGUUAUAUGUAUGUGUUAAAUGACAGCAUUUUAAAGAGUUCCUCAGUAUAAUAGUCAUCCUUUAAGUGACCUCGUAGCAUGUGAGUGAGAUAAAGGUUAAUGGAGUCUGAUUGUGUACAUUAUAUGCCUAGUCUUUAGUUAGUUAUAUUUUUAUAAUUAUUUUUUAUACUUUGUUAAUACUUAAGAAUCUGUCUUAAAACACACACACACACACACACACACACACACACACUCUUGCAUGAACCUAAAGUAUAAAUGUGUUUGAUCAUAUGUGUUGAGCAUAUCAGUAGUUUUAACUAGAUUUCCAAAGUUAAUUUUUUUUUUCUCCAAACUCAGAUUAACAAAGUCUGACAAGUGUUAAACUAUACUCAGUAUAUUCAGUAUCUUCCUUACUCAUUGGUUAUAUAACCUAUUUUGUCUUAUUUUUAUCUUGUUAUCUGUUUUUAUUUAUUUGGGUGUGAUGUAAAUGUAUGACUUAACUAAAUUGUUAUUAUUAUUUUUUCUUACAGAUUUGGAAAGUAGCUUGUCAGCCUUCUCUGAUUAACAGUGCUCAUAUACUUGGUUAAACACUUUAUUUAUAGUGAACUGGCUUCUAUGGGAUUGAAUUGUUUAUGUGUACAUCUAUAAUUUCGUAAGAAUUUUCCAAAACUUGUCAGUUUCAGUCAGGGUUGGAAAAAUCACAAUUUUUCUAAACAAAGAUAAUAAAAAUCUUUUUUUUUUUUUUUAUCAGAUUUUCAAAAAAUACAAAUUGAUUUUAAAAAAUUUAUUUAUUUAUUUAUUUAUUUAUUUAUUUAUUUGUUUAUUUUUUAUUUAUUUAUUUAUUUAUUUAUUUUUUAUUUAUUUAUUUUUUUUAUCUUUGUUUGUUUCCAUUGGUUAUUUGUUUCAGUCUUAUGAUGCCAUUUUCUUCUAUUAAACUUGGCCAAUCUUAAAUGAAACCAUAGUUUAAUAUACAUUAAUGAAGAUGAGUUUUUCACAUGAAAAUCAUAAGUAGGACUAAUAGUUUAAUUAGAUCUGUUAUGUUAAAAGUAACUAACUUUGCAUAAAAAAUAAAAGAAAGAAUUAACCCUCUAAGACCCAAAGGUAAUACUUGUUCAUUCUUUUCAGUGGCAGGGAGUGUGCAUGAUUGAAGAACCCAUUUUUGCACUCAGAAUUGUUUAGUUUCAAGAGAUAUUUCCCACCUUGUACUUAUAUUAUGUGUAUGAAUUAUAUGCCAUUAUCAUUAUAGAUAUUUUCUAUAACAUUACCACAUAAAAUAAAGUAAAAUAAGCCAAAUUGAUUACAAUAUGGGUCUUGGAAUAAAUACAUAUGAACUGUGAUUUCAGUUCACAGCAAAAAAAAUUAGUGGGCCAACUUUUUAUGUAUAGACUUCCAAAACAUGUGGCAUUGUGUUAGCUUCCCAAUGAAAGAGUUUGUUUUCUGUGAAAUAGUUUAGCAUCCUGCAGAAAUGAGCUAAAACUAAAUGUUUCCAGAAAAACUGUAUUUUCUUAUAUCUAUUAGGUUUUUUCAUCAAUUAUUUAUGAUACAGUUUUGAAUUUGAUUUUGCCAUGUAAAACUACUCACAACAAAGAUAAUGGAUGUAGUUUAUAUAUAUAUAUAUAUAUAUAUAUAUAUAUAUAUAUAUAUAUAUAUAUAUAUAUAUAUAUAUAUAUAUAUAUAGUUUUUCUUUAUAUUUAUAUCAACCCUGCGUUAGUAAAUACGUACAUACCGCCAGAAUUAACACCAUAUUUUCUCGCAACUUUCCUGUGUAAAAUAGUAAUUUUAUAUGCUUAUAAUAAUGAGAAUUUUCAAAAGAAUAUCAGUGAUGUCUUCAAAGUUUUCAUAUCUGGAGUAUUUCCUGGGAUAUGUUCAUGUUUCUUUGACUAACCACUAAACAAAAAUGUAAUAAUUUACUCUCUCUCUCUCUCUCUCUCUCUCUCUCUCUCUCUCUCUCUCUCUCUCUCUCUCUCUCUCUCUCUCUCUCUCUCUCUCUCUCUCUUAAUUUUGAAGAAGGAUAAUUUUCAAAUCUAAUAUAUAAAUAGGUUUGAAAAUUAUCAUUAUCCUUCAAAAUUGUAUGGUUAUUAUGUGGAGAGAGAGAGAGAGAGAGAGAGAGAGAGAGAGAGAGAGAGAGAGAGAGAGAGAGAGAGAGAGAGAGAGAGAAUAAAUAUCACAAGUGCAAUCUUAGACUACUGCAAAAAAAGUCCGGACUUGGAUUUAAAUGCUGUUACCAAAUGUUACAGUAAAAUCCCUCUUAUCCGGCAUCAACGGGACCGCCGACAUGCCGGAUACUUGAAUAGAAGUGAAAUUAUGUCCACAAUCACCACCCUACACUCACUCAUCUUACCAUAACAAAGGUCAGCUGAUCUUAAUCAGCAGCUGAUCUGAUCAGCUGCUUAAGUGCAAGCACAACACGCUUCCUCUUUUCUACAACUUUAGGCAUGAUGAAGGCAUCAGGCGAUAAACAGUGCACACGCGGGACUGAGUCACUGAGUAAACACAGUGCAGAGGGCUGCAGGUGGCGCGAAGCAGUGCGCUCUGGUGGCGAGGGGACAAGUAUGCCUCGCACGGGAAUUUUAAUUGAUUUUAUGAGUACACAUUGAUUUUUUAUUGAUUUUAAGGCUCGGGGAAAAAUGUGCCGGAUACUUGAAGCUGCCGGAUACUCGAAUGCUGGAUGAGAGGGAUUUUACUGUAUAUGAUAAUUUAGAUAUAUUUUCAUUACUUAGUAAUAUGAUUCUCAUAUUCAUGUACUGAAAACAUAUUUUGCAUAUAUCUAAUAUAUCAUAAUACUCAGUGAAUCACCAAACAGAGGAUGGGUGACAAGCCUUAGACCUUUAAAUCCUGCUGCCACUCAGAAAACCUUCAGAAUCUGACUGCCAGGAGCCCAUUGGCAGAUAUAAUGACUGGGCAGUACAUAUAGUUUUUGUUGACCAUUACUAUACAGUUUUGAAAUUCAUCGUCUUACUCUCAUCUUGGUUAAAUUUUACACAGAUAGGGUCAUUUCUUGAUUUUUGUUGAAUAUUUAUUACUUUGCCAUGCCAUAUGACGCAUCAAGCAUUAUUGAGGUUUCCAGACCACAUUCUAUGAAUGACACUUUGUCAUUGGAAUUGUGAGGGUUAAUCUCAUUAAACUUCGUUAUUACAUUUAUUGUUAUUAGCAACAAAAACACCAUUUUUUUUAUGCUUUGGAAUAUUUUUCUUGUAUGAGAUGGCAAUGAUUCCUUGGUGCCUGACUUGCUACACCACCAGUACAGGAUCAGUACAGGGCAAGUUGACUUGAUACUUCUCCUGUAUAACUGGUUCAUAUAUUCUUCCUUCGUCAUAUAUAUAUAUAUAUAUAUAUAUAUAUAUAUAUAUAUAUAUAUAUAUAUAUAUAUAUAUAUAUAUAUAUAUAUAUACAUAUAUAUAUAUAUAUAUAUAUAUAUAUAUAUAUAUAUAUAUAUAUAUAUAUAUAUAUAUAUAUAUAUAUAUAUAAAAUUUAAACCAUUAGUUUUACUCGAUAUAACACUUAAACAAUUUUAAAGUACAGUAUAUUUAAUUUUGAUAUAAAUCAAGAUUUUUGACAUUUAAAUAAGUUUAAAUAACUGGAUUUAAAUUUUAUUUAAAUCAAACCAACCCUGGUUUUAAUAGGACAAUUUAUCCUCUUAAGUGCCAGUCUUAAAUUUUAAGGGUUGACUUAUUUUUGAGUGUACUAAGUGAGCCUAUACCUUGCAUUAGCUAUAAGUGAAGUGGCAAGGCAGUGUAUCCUAAGCUUUAAGGAUAUCUUUGCUACUUCUAAUCCAUUUAUUUCAAAUACAGUAGAAAGUUUUUGAGUUUGGGACCAAUUACUUUUUAAGACAUUUCUGUAAACUUCAAAGUGCCUUCCAUCAUACAUGUGUAUACUGUACUUGCUGUUUUGUACUGUCAAACUCAUUUCUCCAUCAAAAUAUUAUGUACUUGUUUCAAGAUAAUUUUUUUAUAUUGUGUUUUCUGUCAUGAUUUCAUAAUUUCAUGAUUUAUAUAUACCUAUAUAAUUCAAUAGUUACUGUAAUACAAGUGGUAUAAUGCAUUAGGAUUAGAUAAAGCAGCCAAGCAAAUGUAUAGAAUUUAAAUUUCUAGGACUGUUUUCCAAGGUUCAAAGCAAGCAUCUAUGUUAUAUUUAUCUUUUCCUUUGUUUCAUAUCCAUUUAUGUUUUAUAAAUCAUACAUCAAUGGGAGUGUGGAGAUGUUCCCAAAUAUUAACCAAAGUUGAAGUACAAUUUCAUUGUCAGCCAGUUUUAACAAAUAGUAAAUUCUUAGGAUAGUUGUCCAAACACUAGUGAAAAUAAUAAUGAAAUAAAAAAAAUUACUCAUCUUGAAA